rnacentral:rRNA from 1 species
UGCAAGUCGAACGAAGUAGCAAUACUUAGUGGCAAACGGGUGAGUAAUAUGUGGGAAUCUGCCUAUCGGUCUGGAAUAACAUGAGGAAACUUAUGCUAAUACCGGAUAAGCCUUUACAGGGAAAGCUUUAUGCUCCGAUAGAUGAGCCCAUACUUGAUUAGUUAGUUGGUAAGGUAAUGGCUUACCAAGACGAUGAUCAAUAGCUGAUUUGAGAGGAUGAUCAGCCACAUUGGGACUGAGACACGGCCCAAACUCCUACGGGAGGCAGCAGUGGGGAAUCUUGCACAAUGGGGGAAACCCUGAUGCAGCGAUGCCGCGUGAGUGAAGAAGGCCUUUGGGUUGUAAAGCUCUUUCGUCGGGGAAGAAAAUGACUGUACCCGAAUAAGAAGGUCCGGCUAACUUCGUGCCAGCAGCCGCGGUAAUACGAAGGGACCUAGCGUAGUUCGGAAUUACUGGGCUUAAAGAGCACGUAGGUGGUUAAAAAAGUUGGUGGUGAAAUCCCAGAGCUUAACUCUGGAACUGCCAUCAAAACUUUUUAGCUAGAGCAUGAUAGAGGAAAGUAGAAUUUCUAGUGUAGAGGUGAAAUUCGUAGAUAUUAGAAAGAAUACCAAUUGCGAAGGCAACUUUCUGGAUCAUUGCUGACACUGAGGUGCGAAAGCAUGGGUAGCGAAGAGGAUUAGAUACCCUCGUAGUCCAUGCCGUAAACGAUGUGUGCUAGACGUUGGAAAUUUAUUUUCAGUGUCGCAGCAAAAGCGUUAAGCACACCGCC